UACAGAGGGGGCAAGCGUUAUUCGGAAUUAUUGGGCGUAAAGGGCGCGUAGGCGGCUUUGCAAGUGACGGGUGAAAUCCCUCGGCUUAACCGAGGAACUGCCUGUCAGACUGCAUGGCUUGAGACCGGGAGAGGUGAGUGGAAUUCCCAGUGUAGCGGUGAAAUGCUUAGAUAUGGCACAGAACACCGAUAGUGAAGACAGCUCACGAAGGCGAAACUGACACUGAGGCACGAAAGCGUGGGGAUCGAACAGG
rnacentral:rRNA from 1 species